rnacentral:rRNA from 1 species
UACGUAGGGUGCAAGCGUUGUCCGGAAUUAUUGGGCGUAAAGAGCCCGUAGGCGGUUUGUUGCGUCGGCUGUGAAAUCCCGAGGCUCAACCUCGGGUCUGCAGUCGAUACGAGCAAACUAGAGUGUUGCAGGGGAGACUGGAAUUCCUGGUGUAGCGGUGAAAUGCGCAGAUAUCAGGAGGAACACCGGUGGCGAAGGCGGGUCUCUGGGCCGAUACUGACGCUGAGGAGCGAAAGCGUGGGGAGCGAACAGG